GGGAUUGUGGCUCAGUGGUCGAGUGCUUGCCUGGAAUGUAUGAAGUGCUGGGUUUGAUUCUCAGCACCA
rnacentral:tRNA from 1 species